UGGGGAAUUUUGGACAAUGGGGGAAACCCUGAUCCAGCCAUCCCGCGUGUGCGAUGAAGGCCUUCGGGUUGUAAAGCACUUUUGGCAGGAAAGAAACGUCGCGGGUUAAUACCCCGCGAAACUGACGGUACCUGCAGAAUAAGCACCGGCUAACUACGUGCCAGCAGCCGCGGUAAUACGUAGGGUGCAAGCGUUAAUCGGAAUUACUGGGCGUAAAGCGUGCGUAGGCGGUUCGGAAAGAAAGAUGUGAAAUCCCAGAGCUUAACUUUGGAACUGCAUUUUUAACUACCGGGCUAGAGUGUGUCAGAGGGAGGUGGAAUUCCGCGUGUAGCAGUGAAAUGCGUAGAUAUGCGGAGGAACACCGAUGGCGAAGGCAGCCUCCUGGGAUAACACUGACGCUCAUGCACGAAAGCGUGGGGGGCAAACAGGAUUAGAUACCCUGGUAGUCCACGCCCUAAACGAUGUCAACUAGCUGUUGGGGCCUUCGGCCUUGGUAGCGCAGCUAACGCGUGAAGUUGACCGCCUGGGGAGUACGGUCGCAAGAUUAAAACUUAAAUGAAUUGACGGGGUCAUA
rnacentral:rRNA from 1 species